GAACGCUGGCGGCAGGCUUAACACAUGCAAGUCGAGCGGUAGCACAGGGGAGCUUGCUCCCUGGGUGACGAGCGGCGGACGGGUGAGUAAUGUCUGGGAAACUGCCUGAUGGAGGGGGAUAACUACUGGAAACGGUAGCUAAUACCGCAUAACGUCGCAAGACCAAAGAGGGGGAUCUUCGGGCCUCUUGCCAUCAGAUGUGCCCAGAUGGGAUUAGCUAGUAGGUGGGGUAAUGGCUCACCUAGGCGACGAUCCCUAGCUGGUCUGAGAGGAUGACCAGCCACACUGGAACUGAGACACGGUCCAGACUCCUACGGGAGGCAGCAGUGGGGAAUAUUGCACAAUGGGCGCAAGCCUGAUGCAGCCAUGCCGCGUGUGUGAAGAAGGCCUUCGGGUUGUAAAGCACUUUCAGCGAGGAGGAAGGUGGUGAGCUUAAUACGCUCAUCAAUUGACGUUACUCGCAGAAGAAGCACCGGCUAACUCCGUGCCAGCAGCCGCGGUAAUACGGA
rnacentral:rRNA from 1 species